rnacentral:rRNA from 1 species
GACGAACCGUGCGAACGUUGUUCGGAAUCACUGGGCUUAAAGGGCGCGUAGGCGGGCUGCCAAGUCCGGGGUGAAAUCUUUCGGCCCAACCGGAAAAGUGCCUUGGAUACUGGCGGCCUGGAGGGAGGCAGGGGCGGAUGGAACUUCCGGUGGAGCGGUGAAAUGCGUUGAUAUCGGAAGGAACGCCGGUGGCGAAAGCGAUCCGCUGGACCUCUUCUGACGCUGAGGCGCGAAAGCCAGGGGAGCAAACGGG